GCCUGGGUGGCUUAGUUGGUUGGGCAUCCGACUUCGGCUCAGGUCAUGAUCUCACGGUUCGUGGGUUCAAGCCCCACAUCGGGCU
rnacentral:tRNA from 1 species